GCGCUGCUGAGGAGUCCCACAAUAGGACGAAAAGGCUUUCCAGUGC
rnacentral:hammerhead_ribozyme from 1 species